GAGGUUAAGCGACUAAGCGUACACGGUGGAUGCCCUGGCAGUCAGAGGCGAUGAAGGGCGUGCUAAUCUGCGAUAAGCGCCGGUAAGGUGAUAUGAACCGUUAUAACCGGCGAUACCCGAAUGGGGAAACCCAGUGUGAUUCGUCACACUAUCAUUAACUGAAUCCAUAGGUUAAUGAGGCGAACCGGGGGAACUGAAACAUCUAAGUACCCCGAGGAAAAGAAAUCAACCGAGAUUCCCCCAGUAGCGGCGAGCGAACGGGGAGGAGCCCAGAGCCUGAAUCAGCAUGUGUGUUAGUGGAAGCGUCUGGAAAGGCGCGCGAUACAGGGUGACAGCCCCGUACACAAAAGCGCAUGUGCUGUGAGCUCGAUGAGUAGGGCGGGACACGUGGUAUCCUGUCUGAAUAUGGGGGGACCAUCCUCCAAGGCUAAAUACUCCUGACUGACCGAUAGUGAACCAGUACCGUGAGGGAAAGGCGAAAAGAACCCCGGCGAGGGGAGUGAAAAAGAACCUGAAACCGU
rnacentral:rRNA from 6 species